UUAAGCGACUAAGCGUACACGGUGGAUGCCCUGGCAGUCAGAGGCGAUGAAGGACGUGCUAAUCUGCGAAAAGCGUCGGUAAGGUGAUAUGAACCGUUACAGCCGGCGAUGUCCGAAUGGGGAAACCCAGUGCAAUUCGUUGCACUAUCGUUAACUGAAUACAUAGGUUAACGAGGCGAACCGGGGGAACUGAAACAUCUAAGUACCCCGAGGAAAAGAAAUCAACCGAGAUUCCCCCAGUAGCGGCGAGCGAACGGGGAGCAGCCCAGAGUCUGAAUCAGCUUGUGUGUUAGUGGAACGGUCUGGAAAGUCCGACGGUACAGGGUGAUAGUCCCGUACACCAAAAUGCACAGGUUGUGAACUCGAAGAGUAGGGCGGGACACGUGGUAUCCUGUCUGAAUAUGGGGGGACCAUCCUCCAAGGCUAAAUACUCCUGACUGACCGAUAGUGAACCAGUACCGUGAGGGAAAGGCGAAAAGAACCCCGGCGAGGGGAGUGAAAAAGAACCUGAAACCGUGUACGUACAAGCAGUGGGAGCACCUUCGGGUGUGACUGCGUACCUUUUGUAUAAUGGGUCAGCGACUUAUAUUCUGUAGCAAGGUUAACCGUAUAGGGGAGCCGCAGGGAAACCGAGUCUUAACUGGGCGUUAAGUUGCAGGGUAUAGACCCGAAACCCGGUGAUCUAGCCAUGGGCAGGUUGAAGGUUGGGUAACACUAACUGGAGGACCGAACCGACUAAUGUUGAAAAAUUAGCGGAUGACUUGUGGCUGGGGGUGAAAGGCCAAUCAAACCGGGAGAUAGCUGGUUCUCCCCGAAAGCUAUUUAGGUAGCGCCUCGUGAACUCAUCUUCGGGGGUAGAGCACUGUUUCGGCUAGGGGGUCAUCCCGACUUACCAACCCGAUGCAAACUACGAAUACCGAAGAAUGUUAUCACGGGAGACACACGGCGGGUGCUAACGUCCGUCGUGAAGAGGGAAACAACCCAGACCGCCAGCUAAGGUCCCAAAGUCAUGGUUAAGUGGGAAACGAUGUGGGAAGGCACAGACAGCCAGGAUGUUGGCUUAGAAGCAGCCAUCAUUUAAAGAAAGCGUAAUAGCUCACUGGUCGAGUCGGCCUGCGCGGAAGAUGUAACGGGGCUAAACCAUGCACCGAAGCUGCGGCAGCGACACUAUGUGUUGUUGGGUAGGGGAGCGUUCUGUAAGCCUGCGAAGGUGUGCUGUGAGGCAUGCUGGAGGUAUCAGAAGUGCGAAUGCUGACAUAAGUAACGAUAAAGCGGGUGAAAAGCCCGCUCGCCGGAAGACCAAGGGUUCCUGUCCAACGUUAAUCGGGGCAGGGUGAGUCGACCCCUAAGGCGAGGCCGAAAGGCGUAGUCGAUGGGAAACAGGUUAAUAUUCCUGUACUUGGUGUUACUGCGAAGGGGGGACGGAGAAGGCUAUGUUAGCCGGGCGACGGUUGUCCCGGUUUAAGCAUGUAGGCUGAUUGUCCAGGCAAAUCCGGAUAAUCAAGGCUGAGGUGUGAUGACGAGGCAGUACGGUGCUGAAGUAACAAAUGCCCUGCUUCCAGGAAAAGCCUCUAAGCAUCAGGUAACAUCAAAUCGUACCCCAAACCGACACAGGUGGUCAGGUAGAGAAUACCAAGGCGCUUGAGAGAACUCGGGUGAAGGAACUAGGCAAAAUGGUGCCGUAACUUCGGGAGAAGGCACGCUGGUGUGUAGGUGAAGUCCCUGCGGAUGGAGCUGAGACCAGUCGAAGAUACCAGCUGGCUGCAACUGUUUAUUAAAAACACAGCACUGUGCAAACACGAAAGUGGACGUAUACGGUGUGACGCCUGCCCGGUGCCGGAAGGUUAAUUGAUGGGGUUAUCCGUAAGGAGAAGCUCUUGAUCGAAGCCCCGGUAAACGGCGGCCGUAACUAUAACGGUCCUAAGGUAGCGAAAUUCCUUGUCGGGUAAGUUCCGACCUGCACGAAUGGCGUAAUGAUGGCCAGGCUGUCUCCACCCGAGACUCAGUGAAAUUGAACUCGCUGUGAAGAUGCAGUGUACCCGCGGCAAGACGGAAAGACCCCGUGAACCUUUACUAUAGCUUGACACUGAACAUUGAGCCUUGAUGUGUAGGAUAGGUGGGAGGCUUUGAAGCGUGGACGCCAGUCUGCGUGGAGCCAACCUUGAAAUACCACCCUUUAAUGUUUGAUGUUCUAACGUUGGCCCCUGACCGGGGUUGCGGACAGUGUCUGGUGGGUAGUUUGACUGGGGCGGUCUCCUCCCAAAGCGUAACGGAGGAGCACGAAGGUUAGCUAAUCCUGGUCGGACAUCAGGAGGUUAGUGCAAUGGCAUAAGCUAGCUUGACUGCGAGCGUGACGGCGCGAGCAGGUGCGAAAGCAGGUCAUAGUGAUCCGGUGGUUCUGAAUGGAAGGGCCAUCGCUCAACGGAUAAAAGGUACUCCGGGGAUAACAGGCUGAUACCGCCCAAGAGUUCAUAUCGACGGCGGUGUUUGGCACCUCGAUGUCGGCUCAUCACAUCCUGGGGCUGAAGUAGGUCCCAAGGGUAUGGCUGUUCGCCAUUUAAAGUGGUACGCGAGCUGGGUUUAGAACGUCGUGAGACAGUUCGGUCCCUAUCUGCCGUGGGCGCUGGAGAAUUGAGGGGGGCUGCUCCUAGUACGAGAGGACCGGAGUGGACGCAUCACUGGUGUUCGGGUUGUCAUGCCAAUGGCACUGCCCGGUAGCUAAAUGCGGAAGAGAUAAGUGCUGAAAGCAUCUAAGCACGAAACUUGCCCCGAGAUGAGUUCUCCCUGAGACUUUAAGUCUCCUGAAGGAACGUUGAAGACGACGACGUUGAUAGGCCGGGUGUGUAAGCGCAGCGAUGCGUUGAGCUAACCGGUACUAAUGAACCGUGAGGCUUAACCUU
rnacentral:rRNA from 1 species